CUUGACCAUCAUUAUAGUUAGAAAGUUCCUUUUUAUCUUCGACCUAAAUUUUCCCUGCUGCAGCUUGAGGCCAUUGCUCUUAAUCCUGUCCCA